rnacentral:rRNA from 1 species
CCUACGGGUGGCAGCAGUGAGGAAUAUUGGUCAAUGGACGAGAGUCUGAACCAGCCAAGUAGCGUGAAGGAUGACUGCCCUAUGGGUUGUAAACUUCUUUUAUAUGGGAAUAAAAUGUUCCACGUGUGGGAUUUUGUAUGUACCAUAUGAAUAAGGAUCGGCUAACUCCGUGCCAGCAGCCGCGGUAAUACGGAGGAUCCGAGCGUUAUCCGGCUUUAUUGGGUUUAAAGGGAGCGUAGGUGGAUUGUUAAGUCAGUUGUGAAAGUUUGCGGCUCAACCGUAAAAUUGCAGUUGAAACCGGCAGUCUUGAGUACAGUAGAGGUGGGCGGAAUUCGUGGUGUAGCGGUGAAAUGCUUAGAUAUCACGAAGAACUCCGAUUGCGAAGGCAGUUCACUGGACUGCAACUGACACUGAGGCUCGAAAGUGUGGGUAUCAAACAGGAUUAGAUACCCCAGUAGUC